AAUUCUCAACCCCUCUCGAUCUUUUUCGAGCGGGCGCUUGGAUGGUGGGGGCUGCCGGAGACCUGGAUUCGUUCAGGACUCGGGCUCCUCUGAAAUGAAUCGGCUUGCGGUCGACUUUUCGACUUUGCAUGACAAGGCCUUUGGCGUGAUAAUGAUCGCCGUUCGCCGAAGUGCACGACAGAAUCGUCCCGUGCCUCUAAUGCGUCGACGCCUUUCGGGGCGUCUUCCUUAUCGAC
rnacentral:misc_RNA from 1 species